GGGGUUGUGGCUCAGCGGUAGAGCGCUCCCCUAGCAUGGGUGAAGCACUGGGUUCGAUCCUCAGCACCACCU
rnacentral:tRNA from 1 species